rnacentral:rRNA from 1 species
UUACCUGGGCUCGAAAUGUAGUGGACCGGGUGGAAACAUCCCUUCCGCAAGGGCUGCUAUAUAGGUGCUGCAUGGCUGUCGUCAGCUCGUGUCGUGAGAUGUUGGGUUAAGUCCCGCAACGAGCGCAACCCUUAUUGCCAGUUGCCAUCAUUUAGUUGGGCACUCUGGCGAAACUGCCCCGGAUAACGGGGAGGAAGGUGGGGAUGACGUCAAGUCCUCAUGGCCUUUAUGUCCAGGGCUACACACGUGCUACAAUGGGUGGUACAAACCGUCGCAAACCCGCGAGGGGGAGCUAAUCGGAAAAAGCCAUCCUCAGUUCGGAUUGGAGUCUGCAACUCGACUCCAUGAAGCUGGAAUCGCUAGUAAUCGCGGAUCAGCACGCCGCGGUGAAUACGUUCCCGGGCCUUGUACACACCGCCCGUCACAUCACGAAAGUGGGUUGUACUAGAAGUCGCCGUGCCGACCUUACGGGGGCAGGCGCCCAAGGUAUAAUUCAUGAUUGGGGUGAAGUCGUAACAAGGUAGGCGUAGUGCU